AGAUCUUUUCGAGUGGCUCCAAAUCUGGGCUAAGCCUUUAUGCAAAUCAGUCCCCCCUUAACCUACCAACCACAGCCCCCCUCACUGACAACCUCUUCCAAUCAGAGAACUCGGGCUAACAAUGCCCUCCAAAAUCAACGUCAAGCCAAGCAGGAGACAAAAGGGGUCAGAUAUCACAGGGAACAGGGGAGGGAUGAGCUGCGUGGAAUAUUAAGUGCUCCCUCCUCUCUCUGCCUCGAUGUACGGCCGACGCGUGCUAGCACUGAGGCCACCUCCAAUUAUUUUGGCCGUAUUUGCUGAUUGGACAAGUUCGCCUGCCGCACAAAAGACUCGAAGACAGAGAGGGGUCUCCAGAGCUUCUGCUUUCAGCAGGUGAGACGUCCGUCCGUCCGUCCGUCCGUCCGUCCGUCCGACCCCUCAGGGAAAUGAUGAGGCAGAAAGGAGGAGUAGCAGGAGAAAGAUGGACGGAGCAAAGUGAUGAUGCAUGGCAAGCGAAAGAAGGAAGAGAAAUGGAUGGCCGAUGGAAACAACACGCUCCAAAACACAGACAAUCUGUCACGAUUCCAUCACGGUCUCUCUGCAGCUGACUGGACAUGGACAAAUGGAGGCGACCGCGACCGUGCGCACGGCAGACUGAUGGCCUUAAUGUUUACUUCACAUAUAACAGAUAGCUAAGGCAGGGGGAGGAAGAGUGAUGGGAAAUUGACAAUGUGGCAGUGCGUGUGCGCACGUGUGCGUGCGUGCGUGUGCACCGUGAACCCCUCCUGGCAGUGUUUUGCAUCCUUCCCUGUGCGGGGCUGCCUGCAGGCUACAAUAUAUGCACUUGCUACUGUAUUGUUUGCCAUUUCCCCCCCCAACUUUGUUUCCAAUUAAAGCAAAGGGAAAUGUUAUCUCUGUU